GACGUAGGUGGCGAACGUUAUCCGGAAUCAUUGGGCGUAAAGGGUGCGUAGAUGGCAUGAUAAGUUAUUAGUGGGAAAUCGAGGCUCAACCUCGUGGAAGCUGGUAAUACUGUUUUGCUUGAGUGCAGGAGAGGUUAACGGAACUCCAUGUGGAGCGGUAAAAUGCGUGGAUAUAUGGAAGAACAUCAAUAACGGCGAAGGCAGUUAACUAUUCUGCUACUGACAUUGAGGCACGAAAGCGUGGGGAGCAAAACGG
rnacentral:rRNA from 1 species